rnacentral:rRNA from 1 species
AAAUUGAAGAGUUUGAUCAUGGCUCAGAUUGAACGCUGGCGGCAGGCCUAACACAUGCAAGUCGAACGGUAACAGGAAACAGCUUGCUGUUUCGCUGACGAGUGGCGGACGGGUGAGUAAUGUCUGGGAAACUGCCUGAUGGAGGGGGAUAACUACUGGAAACGGUAGCUAAUACCGCAUAACGUCGCAAGACCAAAGAGGGGGACCUUCGGGCCUCUNNNNNNNNNNNNNNCCCAGAUGGGAUUAGCUAGUAGGUGGGGUAACGGCUCACCUAGGCGACGAUCCCUAGCUGGUCUGAGAGGAUGACCAGCCACACUGGAACUGAGACACGGUCCAGACUCCUACGGGAGGCAGCAGUGGGGAAUAUUGCACAAUGGGCGCAAGCCUGAUGCAGCCAUGCCGCGUGUAUGAAGAAGGCCUUCGGGUUGUAAAGUACUUUCAGCGGGGAGGAAGGGAGUAAAGUUAAUACCUUUGCUCAUUGACGUUACCCGCAGAAGAAGCACCGGCUAACUCCGUGCCAGCAGCCGCGGUAAUACGGAGGGUGCAAGCGUUAAUCGGAAUUACUGGGCGUAAAGCGCACGCAGGCGGUUUGUUAAGUCAGAUGUGAAAUCCCCGGGCUCAACCUGGGAACUGCAUCUGAUACUGGCAAGCUUGAGUCUCGUAGAGGGGGGUAGAAUUCCAGGUGUAGCGGUGAAAUGCGUAGAGAUCUGGAGGAAUACCGGUGGCGAAGGCGGCCCCCUGGACGAAGACUGACGCUCAGGUGCGAAAGCGUGGGGAGCAAACAGGAUUAGAUACCCUGGUAGUCCACGCCGUAAACGAUGUCGACUUGGAGGUUGUGCCCUUGAGGCGUGGCUUCCGGAGCUAACGCGUUAAGUCGACCGCCUGGGGAGUACGGCCGCAAGGUUAAAACUCAAAUGAAUUGACGGGGGCCCGCACAAGCGGUGGAGCAUGUGGUUUAAUUCGAUGCAACGCGAAGAACCUUACCUGGUCUUGACAUCCACGGAAGUUUUCAGAGAUGAGAAUGUGCCUUCGGGAACCGUGAGACAGGUGCUGCAUGGCUGUCGUCAGCUCGUGUUGUGAAAUGUUGGGUUAAGUCCCGCAACGAGCGCAACCCUUAUCCUUUGUUGCCAGCGGUCCGGCCGGGAACUCAAAGGAGACUGCCAGUGAUAAACUGGAGGAAGGUGGGGAUGACGUCAAGUCAUCAUGGCCCUUACGACCAGGGCUACACACGUGCUACAAUGGCGCAUACAAAGAGAAGCGACCUCGCGAGAGCAAGCGGACCUCAUAAAGUGCGUCGUAGUCCGGAUUGGAGUCUGCAACUCGACUCCAUGAAGUCGGAAUCGCUAGUAAUCGUGGAUCAGAAUGCCACGGUGAAUACGUUCCCGGGCCUUGUACACACCGCCCGUCACACCAUGGGAGUGGGUUGCAAAAGAAGUAGGUAGCUUAACCUUCGGGAGGGCGCUUACCACUUUGUGAUUCAUGACUGGGGUGAAGUCGUAACAAGGUAACCGUAGGGGAACCUGCGGUUGGAUCACCUCCUUA